rnacentral:rRNA from 1 species
UGAGGAAUUUUGCGCAAUGGGAGCAAUCCUGACGCAGCAACGCCGCGUGGGUGAUGAAGGCCUUCGGGUCGUAAAGCCCUGUCAGGUGGGAAGAAUGUCCCGUGAGCGAACAGUUUGCGGGAGUGACGGUACCACCAGAGGAAGCACCGGCUAACUCCGUGCCAGCAGCCGCGGUAAUACGGAGGGUGCAAGCGUUAUUCGGAAUUACUGGGCGUAAAGCGCGUGUAGGCGGUCCUGCAAGUCUGAUGUGAAAGCCCUGGGCUUAACCUGGGAAGUGCAUUGGAAACUGCAUUUCUUGAGUACUGGAGAGGAAGGGGGAAUUCCCGGUGUAGAGGUGAAAUUCGUAGAGAUCGGGAGGAAUACCAGUGGCGUAGGCGCCCUUCUGGACGGUUACUGACGCUGAGACGCGAAAGCGUGGGGAGCAAACA